CAGUAGCCGCGGUAAAACGGAGGGGGCUAGCGUUGUUCGGAAUUACUGGGCGUAAAGCGCACGUAGGCGGCUUGGUAAGUUAGAGGUGAAAGCCCAGGGCUCAACCCUGGAAUUGCCUUUAAGACUGCCGAGCUAGUAGGUGAGAGAGGUAAGUGGAAUUCCGAGUGUAGAGGUGAAAUUCGUAGAUAUUCGGAAGAACACCAGUGGCGAAGGCGGCUUACUGGCUCAUUCUAGACGCUGAGGUGCGAAAGCGUGGGGAGCAAACAGGAUUAGAGACCCCCGUAGUCCCUGUCUCUUAUAC
rnacentral:rRNA from 1 species